AAUGAACGCUGGCGGCAGGCCUAACACAUGCAAGUCGAACGGCAGCACAGUAAGAGCUUUCUCUUACGGGUGGCGAGUGGCGGACGGGUGAGGAAAACAUCCGAAUCUACUUUUUCGAGGUGGAUAACGUAGGGCAACUUACGCUAAUACCGCAUACGACCUACGGGUGGGAGCAGGGGAUCUUCGGACCUUGCGCGAAUGAAUGAGCCGUUGGCGGAUUAGCUAGUUGGCGGGGUAACGGCCCACCAAGGCGACGAUCCGUAGCUGGUCGGAGAGGAUGAUGAGCCACACUGGAACUGAGACACGGUCCAGACUCCUACGGGAGGCAGCAGUGGGGAAUAUUGGACAAUGGGCGCAAGCCUGAUCCAGCCACACCGCGUGGGUGAAGAAGGCCUUCGGGUUGUAAAGCCCUUUUGUUGGGAAAGAAAAGCAGCAGGUUAAUACCACGCUGUGCUGACGGUACCCAAAGAAUAAGCACCGGCUAACUACGUG
rnacentral:rRNA from 1 species